GGACAACUCAGCUCAAGUUAAUUUGCAUUUAUGGCACUGUGGUAGUGCAAAUACAGUAGUGAAGUGCUCCAGAUGGUACUCAAGAUCCCAAAUCAGUGGGCAUGCUGACGACAGACUGUCAGGUUCUCUCCGACUGGGCAUGUGUUAUAAUAAGUGAUGUCUAAUUGUCUAGGCUUUCCAGGGCUAGGGAAAGGGCCCUAAGGGGC